rnacentral:rRNA from 1 species
UACGAAGGGGGCUAGCGUUGCUCGGAAUCACUGGGCGUAAAGGGUGCGUAGGCGGGUCUUUAAGUCAGGGGUGAAAUCCUGGAGCUCAACUCCAGAACUGCCUUUGAUACUGAAGAUCUUGAGUUCGGGAGAGGUGAGUGGAACUGCGAGUGUAGAGGUGAAAUUCGUAGAUAUUCGGAGGAACACCAGAAGCGAAGGCGGCCAACUGGCCCGAUACUGACGCUGAGGCGCGAAAGCGUGGGGAGCAAACAGG